rnacentral:rRNA from 1 species
AUUGAACGCUGGCGGCAGGCCUAACACAUGCAAGUCGAACGAGUGGCGGACGGGUGAGUAAUGUCUGGGAACCUGCCCGCUGGAGGGGGAUACCUACUGGAAACGGUAUCUAAUCCCGCAUACCAUCGGAUGUGCCCAGCUGGGAGUAGCUAGUAGGUGGGGUAACGGCUCACCAAGGCGACGAUCCCUCGCUGGUCUGAGAGGAUGACCAGCCACACUGGAACUGAGACACGGUCCAGACUCCUACGAGAGGGAGCAGUAGGGAAUAUUGCACAAUGGGCGCAAGCCUGAUGCAGCCAUGCCGCGUGUAUGAAGAAGGCCUUCGGGUUGUAAAGUACUUUCAGCGAGGAGGCGUUACUCGCAGAAGAAGCACCGGCUAACUCCGUGCCAGCAGCCGCGGUAAUAC